rnacentral:rRNA from 1 species
UAGGGAAUAUUGGACAAUGGGCGCAAGCCUGAUCCAGCAAUGCCGCGUGAGUGAUGAAGGCCUUCGGGUUGUAAAGCUCUUUCGCCCGCGACGAUGAUGACGGUAGCGGGAGAAGAAGCCCCGGCUAACUUCGUGCCAGCAGCCGCGGUAAUACGAAGGGGGCGAGCGUUGUUCGGAUUUACUGGGCGUAAAGGGCGCGUAGGCGGCGGGUCAAGUCGAGUGUGAAAGCCCCGGGCUCAACCUGGGAAUUGCGCUCGAGACUGGUCUGCUUGAGUUCGGGAGAGGAGCGUGGAAUUCCCAGUGUAGAGGUGAAAUUCGUAGAUAUUGGGAAGAACACCGGUGGCGAAGGCGGCGCUCUGGACCGAGACUGACGCUGAGGCGCGAAAGCGUGGGGAGCAAACA